rnacentral:rRNA from 1 species
GGUGGCGACCGGCGCACGGGUGCGUAACGCGUAUGCAACUUGCCCUAUACAGGAGGAUAACCCGUCGAAAGACGGACUAAUACUGCGUAUGCUCACAGCUUGGCAUCAAGUGGUGAGGAAAGAAAUUCGGUAUAGGAUAGGCAUGCGUCCCAUUAGCUUGUUGGUGAGGUAACGGCUCACCAAGGCAACGAUGGGUAGGGGAACUGAGAGGUUUAUCCCCCACACUGGUACUGAGACACGGACCAGACUCC